GGAAAAAAUAACUUGCAUGGAUCGAAGCCAGUUCUUCCAAUGUGAGGAUGUACAUUAACAUUUUGUAUACAACUUAAUUUGUUUUCCUCUUGACCUUAGCUUUUGAAUACAAUAUAAUUCCCUUCCAAACCCCUCCAGACUUUAUCCAAAGUGGAGGCAACUGGACUACUAGACACCAGAGAAAGAGAGUCAGAACUUCAUGUGAGAUCAAGGGAUGGAGCAGGAGACAAGAAGCACACCUUAAACUCAAAUCGAGAAAAAUAUUUCCUAUAGAAGAAACUCAUAAACUCCAUAUUCUCUUGACAAUCCAUCUGGGCCACCCACCUGAUCAUGAUUGCCUACACAGUGGCAGAAUGAUGGCAUUUAGAAGAGACUCAAAUUCUUCUCCUCAGUCACUGUCCAUACGAAGGGUUCAGACAAAAUGUGUCAAAGACAGAAACGUGGUGAAGUCAUGCUGAACAACAUUUGAACUAUAACACUAGACCUCUGCAAAUGGAACGUUUCUUCAAGGAGAAUCAACAGUAGUGAAGAUCUGGACCAUCCCUGAUGCUCUCUCUGCAGCUUUGACCAAGAACAGAACUAAAGAGAGGAAAGGAAAAAAACAGGAAAAGUCCUCACCCAGCUUGGAACCGAUCUCCUUCAGAAUCCAGCCAAACUCAUAUCGGGAUUUUGAGGAGUGUUUGUUAUGGAAUUGUGUUGUCUGCUGAGGAAAUGUUGGGAUGCUUGCUGCCUUAGGAGUGUAUUUGUGUGGAUUCCAACGUAAGAGGGGAGUAAAGUUACCUACAGAAGUUUGUUGACUGGAGUGAGUCCACCACAGAUCAGCUGACUUUCGAAAUAUGAGGCAACUGUCAAUUGAUUUGCUUUCAGAAGAAUGU
rnacentral:lncRNA from 1 species